UACGUAGGGUGCGAGCGUUGUCCGGAAUUAUUGGGCGUAAAGAGCUCGUAGGUGGUGUGUCACGUCGGCCGUGAAAACCUGCAGCUUAACUGUGGGCGUGCGGUCGAUACGGGCAUCACUGGAGUUCGGCAGGGGAGACUGGAAUUCCUGGUGUAGCGGUGAAAUGCGCAGAUAUCAGGAGGAACACCGGUGGCGAAGGCGGGUCUCUGGGCCGAGAUUGACGCUGAGGAGCGAAAGCGUGGGGAGCGAACAGG
rnacentral:rRNA from 1 species